rnacentral:rRNA from 1 species
GAGGGGCCGCCGCCUUGGGGUGGAAACCUCUUUUACCGGGAAAAAGGAAAAGGCCGGUCCCUCCAGAAAAACCCCGGUUAAUUCGGGCCAGCAGCCGCGGUAAUACGUAGGGCGCAAGCGUUAUCCGGAAUUAUUGGGCGUAAAGAGCUCGUAGGCGGUUUGUCGCGUCUGCUGUGAAAUCCGGAGGCUCAACCUCCGGCCUGCAGUGGGUACGGGCAGACUAGAGUGCGGUAGGGGAGAUUGGAAUUCCUGGUGUAGCGGUGGAAUGCGCAGAUAUCAGGAGGAACACCGAUGGCGAAGGCAGAUCUCUGGGCCGUAACUGACGCUGAGGAGCGAAAGGGUGGGGAGCAAACAGGCUUAGAUACCCUGGUAGUCCACCCCGUAAACGUUGGGAACUAGUUGUGGGGUCCAUUCCACGGAUUCCGUGACGCAGCUAACGCAUUAAGUUCCCCGCCUGGGGAGUACGGCCGCAAGGCUAAAACUCAAAGGAAUUGACGGGGACCCGCACAAGCGGCGGAGCAUGCGGAUUAAUUCGAUGCAACGCGAAGAACCUUACCAAGGCUUGACAUAUACGAGAACGGGCCAGAAAUGGUCAACUCUUUGGACACUCGUAAACAGGUGGUGCAUGGUUGUCGUCAGCUCGUGUCGUGAGAUGUUGGGUUAAGUCCCGCAACGAGCGCAACCCUCGUUCUAUGUUGCCAGCACGUAAUGGUGGGAACUCAUGGGAUACUGCCGGGGUCAACUCGGAGGAAGGUGGGGAUGACGUCAAAUCAUCAUGCCCCUUAUGUCUUGGGCUUCACGCAUGCUACAAUGGCCGGUACAAAGGGCUGCAAUACCGCGAGGUGGAGCGAAUCCCAAAAAGCCGGUCCCAGUUCGGAUUGAGGUCUGCAACUCGACCUCAUGAAGUCGGAGUCGCUAGUAAUCGCAGAUCAGCAACGCUGCGGUGAAUACGUUCCCGGGUCUUGUACACACCGCCCGUCAAGUCAUGAAAGUCGGUAACACCUGAAGCCGGUGGCCUAACCCUUGUGGAGGGAGCCGUCGAAGGUGGAAUCGUAUAGC